UACGUAGGGUGCAAGCGUUGUCCGGAAUUAUUGGGCGUAAAGAGCUCGUAGGCGGUCUGUCGCGUCGGCUGUGAAAUCUCGGGGCUCAACCCCGAGCCUGCAGUCGAUACGGGCAGACUAGAGUGCUGUAGGGGAGACUGGAAUUCCUGGUGUAGCGGUGGAAUGCGCAGAUAUCAGGAGGAACACCGAUGGCGAAGGCAGGUCUCUGGGCAGUUACUGACGCUGAGGAGCGAAAGCAUGGGGAGCGAACAGG
rnacentral:rRNA from 1 species